rnacentral:rRNA from 1 species
UUGACCUCAAAUCAGGUAGACAGCCCACC